CUAAGGAUGGUUCUUCAGAAGCUUGCUUCUAUCGAACCGUUUUAGAAACAUCAGUGGCCAACGGUCGUCAGGAUCGUUGAGCUGCAUUGGCGGGAUUUCGCCGUCUUCGUUUCUCUUUCUUCGCGGACGAACACGCGCUGGGGCUGCAACCUUGCAGAAUCCCUGGUCCUUGACUGGAUAUGCGUUAGGGGCUUGUAGCUCAGUUGGUUAGAGCGCGCGCUUGAUAAGCGUGAGGUCGGAAGUUCAAGUCUUCCCAGGCCCACCACACUCAUCGAGUGAGCAUUCGUCUUCUGGUUACGGGGCCAUAGCUCAGCUGGGAGAGCGCGUGCUUUGCAAGCAUGAGGUCGUCGGUUCGAUCCCGUCUGGCUCCACCAGAUGGUUUGAUCACCGACUACYCAUACCGUCGUCCGCGAAACAUCACUUCGCACUUACUAGUCCGGAUGGACAGURAGCUGCGUGAUUUCUGACAUCGUAAAGAGGAGAUCGAUCCGAGUUGGAUCGGGCAACAAGCAAUUGUUGCGCGAUACUUCAUUAUCUCCGGAUCAUUUCGGCGCUCGUGCGUCUUCCAGGGUAGCUCACAAGGCUGCAUYUGAAAGACAAGCGAGUUGUAAAUGAUCCUUUUAGCGAAGCUUGACCGCCUCGCUAUCGGAACGAUCUUACGAAGCAAGCUGGUCUUUCUAAUCAUUGUCCGGCUGCAGAUAGCGUUCAUCGAGGGCGCGUGCCGGAGAGACUUAGGUUUCUUGGCAAUUCUGCAGACAACAUUCUGCCGAGUGUGUGGACAUUGAUAAUGAGAGC
rnacentral:tRNA from 1 species